AUAGAACGAGCAAGUUGGAAUCCAUUUGCAUGAUUGACCAUAUAGAACGAGCAAAACUGACAUAUAGAUUGUCUUUUUAUCCUCUACAUACUCUUAAAUGCUAGAACUCCCUACCGGGUGCCUAUAUAUACAUGAACGAGCUCUUGCUUGAAUCUUGCGACGGUAGCUCAUCAGCAGAACAUGGACGACGAUCGACGAAAGCUGCUUGAUCUCUCGCCUCUCGCUCUCGUCCAACGCGCUCACACUGCACUACUGUUGGUUGAUCGUCUCGCCCGUUGUGUCGGAGAGGUCUUCUCCACGUUCAGUCCAUCUCUCUGCAGGAAGCCAAGCAAAGCAGAUACCUCUACGCGGCUCUCUUCCUCUAUUGCAUUUGCAGUAGCAAUACGUACUGUUUGCUAGAAUUUUCGGAAUAGGCUGGCUCCGGCAUCUCCUUGCCAAGAUCUUUGGGGCAGGUGACGAGUUGCACGGUGGUGAAUCCCAGACGACGGCCACAUCUGAUGAGACAUACACAAUGCCGUCGUCUUUGUCAUCAUUCUACCUGACAGUUGAGAAGACGAUGACCACAUAUGAUGAGAUCUACACAGUGCCAUCGUCUUAGUCAUCAUUGUACCUGACACCCGAGGAGACGCCGAACAAUGGUGCCAUUUCGAUAAGCAACUACGACACUGAUGAACCACCUUCGCCGCCACAUGUAUCGUUGGUAUCUGAUGAGAUAAACAUUUCUGAAUCAUCACCUCCGCCAUCUCCGUCGCCACAUACAGCGGAUGAGAUGGACAACUCUGAGGCGUCACCUUCACCUUUGUCUCACACCAUAGAACUCCAAAUGUUUGAGGUACCAACCACCUCUGGCAAUAAUGAGGAGGACGAGGAGGAUGACGAUUCUUUUAGAGAAUGAGAGAGUGAUUAAAUGUUUUCAUCAGUUAACAACACCUCAAUUGUAGAAAGGCAUCAGCGAUAUGCUAUAAUAUAGGUGGAGACAUGUUUGUCGUAUGGAUUUGUUUGAAAUGGUAAGACAUGUUUGAUGCGUA